GACGAACGCUGGCGGCGCGCUUAACACAUGCAAGUCGAACGGAAAGGCCUGCUUUCCCUUGUGGAUUGCGGGUACUCGAGUGGCGAACGGGUGAGUAACACGUGAGUGAUCUGCCCCCAACUUGGGUAUAAGCCUGGGAAACUGGGUCUAAUUCCCGAUAGGACUGCAGGGUGGUGCCUGUGGUGGAAAACGAUUUUCUAGUGGUUGGGGAUGAGCUCGCGGCCUAUCAGCUUGUUGGUGGGGUAAUGGCCUACCAAGGCGGCGACGGGUAGCCGGCCUGAGAGGGUGGACGGCCACAUUGGGACUGAGAUACGGCCCAGACUCCUACGGGAGGCAGCAGUGGGGAAUAUUGCACAAUGGGCGGAAGCCUGAUGCAGCGCCGCCGCGUGGGGGAUGACGGCCUUCGGGUUGUAAACUCCUUUCGACCGCGAGGAAGCCACCUGGUUGGAAGGGUGGUGACGGUAGUGGUAGAAGAAGCACCGGCUAACUACGUG
rnacentral:rRNA from 1 species